UGUAAUGUACAAUCUAUGUUUUGCAUUGUAUCCAACAUAUUUGUUCUGUUCUGUGCGUACAUAUGUUUUGAAUGUGUGCGUAUGUGUAUGUAGGGAAAAACAGAAACUAACUAUAACUAUACGACUUCUUCGUCAUCCCUCGAA
ensembl:ncRNA F18G5.9 ncRNA